UAUCGUACAAAAUGUGAGAGGGGUGCAUGCUUGGGCUGUUGCUGGCUCAAAGUAGCCGUGCACGCCUGGGUGUGUCCCCUCGCACAACAAUCCAUCUCACCCUUUUGUGCAUCACCGCGUGGGCUCCCUUCUCGGAGGGGGCUCGCGUUUUCACACAAACCCCCCUUUUAAAAGUGUAGAAUGACCUCAUGUAUGCGUUAACCCGCAAUCAAUACAACUUUCAACAACGGAUCUCUUGGCUCUCGCAUCGAUGAAGAACGCAGCGAAAUGCGAUACGUAAUGUGAAUUGCAGAAUUCAGUGAAUCAUCGAAUCUUUGAACGCACCUUGCGCCCCUUGGUAUUCCGAGGGGCACACCCGUUUGAGUGUCGUGAAAACCUCAACCUCCUUGGUUUCUUCUGGAGACCAAAGCAGGCUUGGACUUUGGAGGCCUUUGCUGGCACCUCUCUUUUCUGAAGGCCAGCUCCUCUUAAACAAAUUAGCAGGGUCCUCUUUGCUGAUCCUCGACGUGUGAUAAGAUGUUUCCAUGUCUUGGUUUCUGGCUCUGUCACCUUUGGGACCUGCUUCUAACUGUCCGGACCUUGCGUCGAGACAACGUUCGAGCAUGUGCCUCCCUUCUUGGGAAGCUCCCUCGACCCCACGAACCCUUGACCUCAAAUCGGGUGA
rnacentral:rRNA from 1 species